GACGAACGCUGGCGGCGUGCUUAACACAUGCAAGUCGAACGGAAAGGCGCUGCUCUUGUGGGGUGCUCGAGUGGCGAACGGGUGAGUAACACGUGAGUAACCUGCCCUUGACUUUGGGAUAACUUCAGGAAACUGGGGCUAAUACCGGAUAGGAGCUCCUGCGGCAUGGUGGGGGUUGGAAAGUUUCGGCGGUUGGGGAUGGGCUCGCGGGUUAUCAGCUUGUUGGUGGGGUAGUGGCUUACCAAGGCUUUGACGGGUAGCCGGCCUGAGAGGGUGACCGGCCACCAUGGGACUGAGGUACGGCACAGACUCCUACGGGAGGCAGCAGUGGGGAAUAUUGCGCAAUGGGCGGAGGCCUGAUGAAGCAACGCCGCGUGCGGGAUGACGGCCUUCGGGGUGUAAACCACUUUCGCCUGUGACGAAGAGUGAGUGACGGUAAUGGGUAAAGAAGCAACGGCUAACUACGUG
rnacentral:rRNA from 1 species